rnacentral:rRNA from 1 species
UACGUAGGUGGCAAGCGUUGUCCGGAAUUAUUGGGCGUAAAGCGCACGUAGGCGGCUUAGCAAGUCGGAUGUGAAAUCCCUCGGCUCAACCAAGGAAGUGCAUCCGAAACUGCUGAGCUUGAGUACGAAAGAGGAUCGCGGAAUUCCCGGUGUAGAGGUGAAAUGCGUAGAUAUCGGGAGGAACACCAGUGGCGAAGGCGGCUUCCUGGCCUGUUCUUGACGCUGAGGCGCGAAAGCUAGGGGAGCAAACGGG